rnacentral:rRNA from 1 species
AGGCUCCGACCCGACGAAGGGGGCAGCGGCCCAAGGUAUGAUCCAUGAUUGGGGUG